rnacentral:rRNA from 1 species
AGUGAACGCUGGCGGUAGGCCUAACACAUGCAAGUCGAACGGCAGCACAGUAAGAGCUUGCUCUUACGGGUGGCGAGUGGCGGACGGGUGAGGAAUACAUCGGAAUCUACUUUUUCGUGGGGGAUAACGUAGGGAAACUUACGCUAAUACCGCAUACGACCUACGGGUGAAAGCAGGGGAUCUUCGGACCUUGCGCGAUUGAAUGAGCCGAUGUCGGAUUAGCUAGUUGGCGGGGUAAAGGCCCACCAAGGCGACGAUCCGUAGCUGGUCUGAGAGGAUGAACAACCCAAAUGGGACUGAGACACGGUCCCGACUCCUACGGGAGGCAGGAGUGGGGAAUAUUGGACAAUGGGCGCAAGCCUGAUCCAGCCAUACCGCGUGGGUGAAGAAGGCCUUCGGGUUGUAAAGCCCUUUUGUUGGGAAAGAAAAGCAGCAGGUUAAUACCCCGCUGUUCUGACGGUACCCAAAGAAUAAGCACCGGCUAACUUCGUG